rnacentral:rRNA from 1 species
UUGAAAUACCACCCUUUAAUGUUUGAUGUUCUAACGUGGACCCGUAAUCCGGGUUGCGGACAGUGUCUGGUGGGUAGUUUGACUGGGGCGGUCUCCUCCUAAAGAGUAACGGAGGAGCACGAAGGUUGGCUAAUCCUGGUCGGACAUCAGGAGGUUAGUGCAAUGGCAUAAGCCAGCUUGACUGCGAGCGUGACGGCGCGAGCAGGUGCGAAAGCAGGUCAUAGUGAUCCGGUGGUUCUGAAUGGAAGGGCCAUCGCUCAACGGAUAAAAGGUACUCCGGGGAUAACAGGCUGAUACCGCCCAAGAGUUCAUAUCGACGGCGGUGUUUGGCACCUCGAUGUCGGCUCAUCACAUCCUGGGGCUGAAGUAGGUCCCAAGGGUAUGGCUGUUCGCCAUUUAAAGUGGUACGCGAGCUGGGUUUAGAACGUCGUGAGACAGUUCGGUCCCUAUCUGCCGUGGGCGCUGGAGAACUGAGGGGGGCUGCUCCUAGUACGAGAGGACCGGAGUGGACGCAUCACUGGUGUUCGGGUUGUCAUGCCAAUGGCACUGCCCGGUAGCUAAAUGCGGAAGAGAUAAGUGCUGAAAGCAUCUAAGCACGAAACUUGCCCCGAGAUGAGUUCUCCCUGAGACUUAGAGUCUCCUGAAGGAACGUUGAAGACGACGACGUUGAUAGGCCGGGUGUGUAAGCGCAGCGAUGCGUUGAGCUAACCGGUACUAAUGAACCGUGAGGCUUAACCUUAC